GUAGGAGGUCAGAGGAAAUGACUGGACCAAUAGUGCUAUCAGAGCUCUUAGAGGGCGGUGAUAUGGGCUGAUAAAGCGAUAAUGACUGGCUCAGAACAGUGUACUACCGUAAGAGCCAAAGAUUCUGAGGUAAACACUGAACCGAAGCGUUUCGCUUUACUGUUGCGUAACACUACACUGUUCUCUCGGCCGCAGACGCUUAAGACGUGGACUUAGCCCGAAAUGCUGCGUGGACGUAAAACACCCGCUAUCUAUGUAGGCUACAAAGGAUUCCAUUUGUAAAUCAAGUCUUUUAAAUGUUGGAACGAACUAAUGAAAACAUGAGUGAACUGAGGAGAAACGCUAUCCGGAGGAAGUCAAAACCGAAGCAGACAGCAUGUUCGUCGGCGGAGGAAUGCCCGGAAUCCUCAGAUAAAGCUGGCAACCCCAGCUGCUUUCCCUCCAAACAAUCUGAGGAAGAGGAGCCUUGUGUUGGGGUGAAGAUCGCUCAGAACAAAGCCGUUGGUAGCCACAGUCCUGAUGAGCAAGGUCGUCACAAUGAGAAGUUGAGUCGUGGAUGCAGAUUCAGCAAUAAGAGCCUUACUGGAGUAAAUGGAAGAGUUUCAGGUCGACGGCCACCACUGCAUCCCAAACCACAAGGUAUGGAGAUAUGCGCACAAUAUGCACACACACAUAACUCCUUCCAUAAU
rnacentral:lncRNA from 1 species